rnacentral:rRNA from 1 species
UACGGAGGAUGCGAGCGUUAUCCGGAUUUAUUGGGUUUAAAGGGUGCGUAGGCGGGAUGCCAAGUCAGCGGUAAAAAUGCGGUGCUCAACGCCGUCGAGCCGUUGAAACUGGCGUUCUUGAGUGGGCGAGAAGUAUGCGGAAUGCGUGGUGUAGCGGUGAAAUGCAUAGAUAUCACGCAGAACUCCGAUUGCGAAGGCAGCAUACCGGCGCCCUACUGACGCUGAUGCACGAAAGCGUGGGUAUCAAACAGG